GACGGAGGAUGCAAGUGUUAUCCGGAAUUAUUGGGCGUAAAGCGUCUGUAGGUUGCCUAGCAAGUCUAUUGUUAAAGGUUAAAGCUUAACUUUAAAACUGCAGUAGAAACUGUUAGGCUUGAGUAUAGUCGAAGUAAGGGGAAUUUCCAGUGAAGCGGUGAAAUGCGUAGAUAUUGGAAGGAACACCAAUGGCGAACGCACUUUACUAGACUUUUACUGACACUCAGAGACGAAAGCUAGGGUAGCAAAUGGG
rnacentral:rRNA from 1 species